GCCCGGGUGGCUCAGUCGGUUGAGAGCAUCUGACUUCGGCUCAGGUCAUGAUCUCACAGUUCGUGGGUUCAAGCCCCGCCUCGGGCU